rnacentral:rRNA from 1 species
UGGGCAACCUGCCCCUCUCUCUGGGAUAACCCCGGGAAAACCGGAGCUAAUACCGGAUACUCCGGCUGGAUCGCAUGGUCCGGCCGGGAAAGGUCCGCCGGAGAGGGAUGGGCCCGCGGCCUAUCAGCUUGUUGGUGGGGUCAUGGCUCACCAAGGCGACGACGGGUAGCUGGUCUGAGAGGAUGACCAGCCACAUUGGGACUGAGACACGGCCCAGACUCCUACGGGAGGCA